rnacentral:rRNA from 1 species
GUAGGGCGCGAGCGUUGUCCGGAAUUAUUGGGCGUAAAGGGCUUGUAGGCGGUUGGUCGCGUCUGCCGUGAAAUCCUCUGGCUUAACUGGGGGCGUGCGGUGGGUACGGGCUGACUUGAGUGCGGUAGGGGAGACUGGAACUCCUGGUGUAGCGGUGGAAUGCGCAGAUAUCAGGAAGAACACCGGUGGCGAAGGCGGGUCUCUGGGCCGUUACUGACGCUGAGGAGCGAAAGCGUGGGGAGCGAACAGGAUUAGAUACCCUGGUAGUCCACGCUGUAAACGUUGGGCACUAGGUGAGGGGGCCACCCGUGGUUUCUGCGCCGUAGCUAACGCUUUAAGUAGUCCACCUGGGGAGU